rnacentral:rRNA from 1 species
UUCGCAAUGCCCGAAAGGGUGACGAAGCGACGCCGCGUGGGUGAGGAAGGCCUUCGGGUUGUAAAGCCCUGUCAGGAGUUAAGAAAUGUAAGUGUGCUAAUAUCGCAUUUACUUGACGAAGGCUCCAAAGGAAGUCACGGCUAACUCUGUGCCAGCAGCCGCGGUAAUACAGAGGUGGCAAGCGUUGUUCGGAAUUAUUGGGCGUAAAGAGCACGUAGGUGGGUUUGUAAGUCAGAUGUGAAAGCCUUCUGUUCAACGGAAGAAUUGCAUCUGAAACUGCAAAUCUUGAGUAUAGGAGGGGAGAAUGGAACUUCUGGUGGAGCGGUGAAAUGCGUAGAUAUCAGAAGGAACGCCGGCGGCGAAAGCGACUCUCUGGCCUAUUACUGACACUGAGUGUGCGAAAGUUAGGGGAGCAGACGGGAUUAGAUACCCCGGUAGUCCUAACUGUAAACGAUGGGCACUAAGUAGAGGGGUUUU